rnacentral:tRNA from 2 species
UCCCUCGUGGCGCAAUUGGCUAGCGCGUUCGACUGUUACACAUCAUGAUAUCGAGAGGUUGGUGGUUCGAGCCCACCCGAGGGAG